rnacentral:rRNA from 2 species
GACAGGUGGUGCAUGGUUGUCGUCAGCUCGUGUCGUGAGAUGUUGGGUUAAGUCCCGCAACGAGCGCAACCCUUAAGCUUAGUUGCCAUCAUUAAGUUGGGCACUCUAAGUUGACUGCCGGUGACAAACCGGAGGAAGGUGGGGAUGACGUCAAAUCAUCAUGCCCCUUAUGAUUUGGGCUACACACGUGCUACAAUGGACAAUACAAAGGGCAGCGAAACCGCGAGGUCAAGCAAAUCCCAUAAAGUUGUUCUCAGUUCGGAUUGUAGUCUGCAACUCGACUACAUGAAGCUGGAAUCGCUAGUAAUCGUAGAUCAGCAUGCUACGGUGAAUACGUUCCCGGGUCUUGUACACACCGCCCGUCACACCACGAGAGUUUGUAACACCCGAAGCCGGUGGAGUAACCUUUUAGGAGCUAGCCGUCGAAGGUGGGACAAAUGAUUGGGGUGAAGUCGUAACAAGGUAGCCGUAUCGGAAGGUGCGGCUGGAUCACCUC